rnacentral:tRNA from 1 species
GAGGGUAUAGCUUAAGUGUAGAGCGCAUGCUUAGCAUGCACAAGGCCCUGGGUUCAAUCCCCAGUACUUUCU